rnacentral:rRNA from 1 species
CCUGCCUCAAGGCUGGGAUACAUUUGAAACAGAUGCUAAUACCGAAUAAAACUUAGUAUCGCAUGAUACAAAGUUGAAAAGGCGCCACGGCGUCACCUAGAGAUGGGUCCGCGGUGCAUUAGUUAGUUGUGGGGUAAAGGCCUACCAAGACAAUGAUGCAUAGCCGAGUUGAGAGACUGAUCGGCCACAUUGGGACUGAGACACGGCCCAAACUCCUACGGGAGGCUGCAGUAGGGAAUCUUCCACAAUGGGCGAAAGCCUGAUGGAGCAACGCCGCGUGUGUGAUGAAGGCUUUAGGGUCGUAAAGCACUGUUGUAUGGGAAGAAAUGCUAGAAUAGGGAAUGAUUCUAGUUCGACGGUACCAUACCAGAAAGGGACGGCUAAAUACGUG